rnacentral:rRNA from 1 species
GACGAACGCUGGCGGCGUGCCUAAUACAUGCAAGUCGAACGGUCUUUUCUAUGGAAGCUUGCUUCCACUGGGAAGAUAGUAACGAACGGGUGAGUAACACGUGGGUAACCUGCCCAUAAGAGGGGGAUAACACUUGGAAACAGGUGCUAAUACCGCAUAAUUCUUUUCUCCGCCUGAAGGGAAGAUGAAAGACGCUUUUGCGUCACUGAUGGAUGGACCCGCGCUGCAUUAGCUAGUUGGUGGGUAACGGCUCACCAAGGCCACGAUGCAUAGCCGACCUGAGAGGGUNAUCGG